rnacentral:rRNA from 1 species
CAGCCGUAAACUAUGCGCGUUAGGUGUACUGGUGACCACGAGUCACCGGGGUGCCGAAGGGAAACCGUGAAACGUGCCGCCUGGGAAGUACGGUCGCAAGGCUGAAACUUAAAGGAAUUGGCGGGGAGCACCACAACAGGUGGAGCCUGCGGUUUAAUUGGACUCAACGCCGGGAAGCUCACCGGAUAGGACAGCAGAAUGAUUGCCGGGCUGAAGACCCUGCAUGACUAGCUGAGAGGUGGUGCAUGGCGUCAGUGACU